AACAACCUGAGUUGCUCGCCAGCUUAUUGUUUUUUACCCACAUUCAACAAAUGGAGUCCGGAGUCGCCGGGUGGCUGUCAUGCCCCCCUUCUGGUCAGGGGACGGCAAAAGCUCAGCGCAGGACACCUACCUGCUACAGAGCGGGUGAAAAAAACGGUAGCAGCGGCAUCUCGGGGGUAG
rnacentral:other from 1 species